rnacentral:snRNA from 1 species
AGCUGUGCUGUGUGUUCAAAGCGAACUAUUCUUUCGCCUUUUACUGAAGAUUACCGUGAACACAUUGUCUAAAGCAGCAUACAUCAAUUUUUGGACGGUAUUUCUCUUUGAAAUGCCU